rnacentral:tRNA from 1 species
GCCUGGUUGGCUCAGCUGAGCGUCUGACUUCGACUCAGGUCAUGAUCUCACGGUUUGUGAGUUCAAGCCCCACAUCAGGCU